CCUACGGGUGGCAGCAGUGGGGGAUCUUGCACAAUGGGGGGAACCCUGAUGCAGCGACGCCGCGUGGGUGAAGAAGCGCCUCGGCGCGUAAAGCUCUGUUAGCAGGGAAGAAAAUGACGGUAACUAACGAAGAAGCCCCGGCUAAUUACGUGCCAGCAGCCGCGGUAAUACGUAGGGGGCAAGCGUUAUCCGGAUGUACUGGGUGUAAAGGGGGCGCAGACGGCGAUGCAAGCCAGGAGUGAAAGCCCGGGGCCCAACCCGGGGACUGCACUUGAAACUGCGUGGCUGGAGUGCAGGAGGGGCAGGCGGAAUUCCUGGUGUAGCGGUGAAAUGCGUAGAUAUCAGGAGGAACACCAGUGGCGAAGGCGGCCUGCUGGACUGCAACUGACGUUGAGGCCCGAAAGCGUGGGGAGCAAACAGGAUUAGAUACCCCGGUAGUC
rnacentral:rRNA from 1 species